rnacentral:rRNA from 1 species
UGGGGGAUAUUGCACAAUGGGCGCAAGCCUGAUGCAGCGACGCCGCGUGGGGGAUGAAGGCCUUCGGGUUGUAAACUUCUUUUGCUCUGAACAAGGCGCUCUUUGGGGUGUGUUGAGUGUAGGGGUUGAUUAGCGCCGGCUAACUACGUGCCAGCAGCCGCGGUAAUACGUAGGGCGCGAGCGUUGUCCGGAAUUAUUGGGCGUAAUGGGCUUGUAGGUGGCUGGUUGCGUCUGUCGUGAAAGCUCAUGGCUUAACUGUGGGUGUGCGGUGGGUACGUGCUUGCUUGAGUGCAGUAGGGGAGGCUGGAAUUCCUUGUGUAGCGGUGGAAUGCGCAGAUAUCAGGAGGAAUACCGGUGGCGAAGGCGGGUCUCUGGGCUGUUACUGACACUGAGGAGCGAAAGCAUGGGGAGCGAACAGG